UCGUGCGGUACGGACUGACGGACGGAUGGUUUUUCUUGUUGGGGAAGUAUAGAAAUGCUUACGUUAUAAAAAAAAAUCGCAGGGUUCGCGAAUUUCGCGAUAAGAACCAACACCAACCUACUCCCCCACCCCCCGCUGAGCGAUGCCGUCUUGAUCGCCCCCUCCCAACCCCAGGAAAAGGGACACUACCUUUCUAUCUCAGUUGAAGAAAGGAUGAUGAAGCGUUAACAACGACAAUAACGGCAUUUUCUAACGAGUUGUCUUAUGGCCUCUGAGAUUUGCGCGCGAAGCUGGCGCGCGCGAACCUGAGAGGCCAUAAUUGGCCGCUUAAUAGCAUAAAAAGACAAAGAUAAUGCCAAACGACACAACUAAAAAUUCAAACAAAGAACUGAUCUUAGCUAUACUGUUUGGGGAAAAGAAAUAAAAAAUUAGACAGCCGCAACACACGCCACUAAAGCCACCACCGCCGGCAUAACGCGGAACCAACUGUUGGCAACAUUCAUUCGCGCGUCAUUGCUUCGUCCGCGUCGUCUCCGCAACGAGAGCCGCCAUCUUCUCGCGCCUAACGUUUUGUAUGGUUUUGUUCUCUGCAAUCCGCGCACACAGCUCAUCGGUGGCUGCACGUCUGCUCGGCGUCGCAAUGCGGCCUGCGUCAUUUUCUGGUGCUCGCGCAAUCGGUGUGAAACAUGUCGCAUGUGAAAUGUUUGAUAGAAGUGCCUCACGUCCAAGUCAAGCCGCCGUACGGGUGUAUGGCUGUGCGCCCCGUUCUCGGAAGCGUCGACGGGUUUCCGGCAUGCGGAUUUCAGCGUUUGGACUCUACUUUUGGUGAGGAUGUCGAUCGACCUUGGGCCUGGCGACAGCACACCCGACAUCGCCAAAGUGCAGCCUAUCAGUUGAGUGCCCCCGAAUGGACCAUCAACAUUGGAAAAUGAAGCAGAGCCAGGGGGAAAAGGUUCCGGUAACACUGCAUUCAGUAUGGUGGCCCAGACGUGUAUGCAAGCAACCUCCUUCAUGUGGACCAAGAACUACUCUGCAGUGUCUCACAGACUUCCAUGCGAAGCCCUCAACAUUCUCGUCUCAGUGGAAUGGCUGCUCAUCUAUCUGCGUGUCCAUCACCAAGAUGGCCAGUUGUAAAGCUCCUGUACCCGUUUAAGACAGCUUAAUGAUUUUUUUUAUUUAGUUUUCAUGGUUGGCCGUAGAAUCUUAACAUUUUUGAUGUUUCUAACGUUUUUACCUGGCCCAAAGUGGUGCAAUAACUUUAAACCAGUGUAAUGUAUUUAAGUGAUGCUCACUCUAAUGCCUAUCUGGUUUUGUUUGUGUUUAAGAAAUUUGAAUGUCUGAUGAGGUAACAGCAUUUAAACUUGUCAUCGUGGCUCUUUUCAGUGAGCUGCUAGGAAAUAAGAUGCAAAACUUAUCACACGCCAGUUGUAGCAUUUUUGUUUUCAAGACUAAAGUAUACAUGUUUCAAAAGAUGGAAAGUGGGGAAAAAAGCCUCAAGAACAUAAUCAUCCUAGGAUUGUCAUGUCCUUACAACUCUGCAAUGACUAAUGCCUCAUACAUCUUGGGAGCACAUUGGUCGCAAUGCCUACAGGUAUACUUGAUAAGAGAAUAGCUUGCACUCAGAUUUGCCACGCAGUUGAUGGCUGAUAGCUUUUGUUUGUCGUCUUCAUGUUACUACUAUGUAUUCAAUAUUCAUUUACAUGUGCUGCGGUUUUUUGCAGUCACACACACACACACACA